AACGGCCAUACCAUGCUGAAUAUACCGGUUCUCGUUCGAUCACCGAAGUCAAGCAUCAUUGGGCGCGGUCAGUACUUGGGUGGGUGACAU
rnacentral:rRNA from 1 species